AUUGAACGCUGGCGGCAUGCCUUACGCAUGCAAGUCGAACGGUAACAGGUCUUCGGAUGCUGACGAGUGGCGAACGGGUGAGUAAUACAUCGGAACGUGCCUAGUAGUGGGGGAUAACUACUCGAAAGAGUGGCUAAUACCGCAUGAGAUCUACGGAUGAAAGCAGGGGAUCGCAAGACCUUGUGCUACUAGAGCGGCCGAUGGCAGAUUAGGUAGUGGGGGGGAAAAAAGUUUACCAAGCCGACGAUCUGUAGCUGGUCUGAGAGGACGAUCAGCCACACUGGGACUGAGACACGGCCCAGACUCCUACGGGAGGCAGCAGUGGGGAAUUUUGGACAAUGGGCGCAAGCCUGAUCCAGCAAUGCCGCGUGCAGGAUGAAGGCCUUCGGGUUGUAAACUGCUUUUGUACGGAACGAAAAGCCCCGGGUUAAUACCCUGGGGUCAUGACGGUACCGUAAGAAUAAGCACCGGCUAACUACGUGCCAGCAGCCGCGGUAA
rnacentral:rRNA from 1 species